AAAAGGUUUUCCAAAUUCGUUACGGAAUUGAGAAUUGAGAUGUCGAUCUACAUUUUCAGCAUUGAAAUUGAAUGGCAAUCUGGCAUAUAAUUUCCAUUUGGCCAAAUAAUCGAUCACGUGGACUGAAACUGCUUUCCAUUUGGCCGAAAUUUCGUCGGUUGUUAGCUGUACCUGUUCGGAUGUACGUCUCAUCUUACGCAGAAACACUACUGAGUUGGUAUUCAGGUUGGAGAUCCCGUUGCUUAACUGUUGCAGAAUGUGAGAACUCAACAAAGUCUGAGCUACAUGGCCGGCAUCAUUACAGUGAUUUCGUUGGAGCCAGCUGGUGAAAUGUGUGAUCGAGUCAAGUUGAGCUGCUGCUGCUGCAUGCAGUUUAUCGAGCUGGUGUUAUCCUGAAGUGUCAUUGCAGGAAGACUAUUUGAAAUGGACUUGGUGAUACUUAAACUAUGCCUGUGCUGUUCAAUGUGCAGUGGUUUUGCAGCCUGUUUCCAGUUGAGAGGUGUGAUUAUGCAGCUGAUACAGGAUUGAAGAAAAAGAUCUGAAGUAGCUGUGCUGGUGUUUUCCUGAAAUUGCUGUGCCACAGGAGUUGCAGAUAGUGUGUUUGGUUCUACAUAGAAGUUAAUGUAAAGAGUUUGGAGAUGAUCAGCCACUUCUGCAUAUAACUUAUGUAAAACUUCAAAGUUGUAAGAAAUAUACAAGUCAAGUGCGAAA